AGAUUGGAUGACUAAACCUGGAUGAUUAUGAAACAAACUAACGUAAAGUUCUCUGAAAAAUUUGCAAGCUUGUAGUCAAGGAAGAACCUAAGGCAAGGCCAGUUCCAACAGAUACAGAGCCUCCUCAAUAGCAAAGCAAACAUUCAAGAAAGAUUAAUGUUUUGCUAUUAGAGGUAUCAAGCAGGGAGGAAGCAGGAGCUGUGGCAUUGCAAUAAAGAAGCAGCCGUGAUCACGUUGAAUGAGAGAAAUCUGAGAAAGGACUUUGUCACAAUCCUUCCAGACUGAAAAAGGUACAUUAUUGGCAGACAACGUUCAGGCUGGGUGACCAGAACUGGACACAGUACUCCAGAAGAGGCCUCACCAACGUCCUGUUAAACUUCAACGUGACAUUGCAACACCUAUACUCAAAGGUCUGAGC